CAGACGUCCAAAGCAGAUUCAUUCAUCCAUUCCAACUGCACUGAGACUCUGUGUGUGCCUCUCAUCCGUUGUUACUCAGGGACGAGGAUUUCAAUAUAACAGCCAGCUACAUUAUUUAGGGAGUCAAUAGGAGCAAGAUGAGUAAAAUGAUCUUUCUGUGUCUAGGAGUCACCAUACUGACUUUUGUUUUGCCUAGUCAGGUGAUUAGCCAAAACACUACAGCUGCUAUUACAACAGGUAAUAAUACUUCUAUGUCAACGAGUAACUCCAGCAGCCUCUCUAGCACAUCUGUGACAAAUACAACUACUAUCACCACUACCACCCAUUCGCAUGCAAGUUCUGUGUAUGCAGCUCCUACUCUUUUCCUUGGCUUUGCAUCAGUUUUGCUUUUAAACCUUUUCUGGUAAGAAACUGUGGUGUAUUUGCAACACUGGCACUUGUCCCUGUCCUGCUCUUGUGUCAUUGAUCUGGCAUAAUCUUUAAAAACUGCAUGGAGGAACAGAAACCUACCCUUCUGCUAAAAGACUUUGUCCUGCAGUCUACACUGCUCACACCAUCUUGACUGAGAAGCUCUCACUGACAAACCAACAAUCCCAAGGCUGAAUGAUGUGGCAGCGCUCUUGUUUACUGCAGGAAUCGACCAGUGACAAGCUCCAGUAUCAACUUCAGAAAAAGUCUUAAUUUCUUAAGUGGAAGCAGAUAUCCCAAAGUGAAAGCAAGCCCAGAUUACAAGAGAUAAAUAAUGCACUAGACAACACAUGUGAAUUAGUAAACGUUGGUUAAUCAAGACUGUUAAUGAAAGAAAAGAUACUGGGAGAUUGUUUACUCUUAUAUCAUUUACAUUUAUGUAUAACAGUAAAACUAGGUUAGUUUGAUGCUUAUAAAUAUAAAAUUAUGCCUUUUCAAUAAAUUAGAAGGAAACACUGAUAUUUUUUUUCAGCUGAGUUUUUAACCUUCCAUUGGAGUUUAUGAUGAAUGUGGCAAUGCUGUAAAUGUAACCAGGUAAUUUAAAAUAGGGAACAUUCUCAAAAUAACUAUGACUAUGAGUUUUCUAUCUUUUUAAUAACACCAGAAAAUGAAAAUGGCCUUCACGCAUUUAAAAUGUAACAUUUGUCUCUUUUGUAGGAAGUUUAUGUACUUUGUAUAUUUCUUUACCUUUAUUUGACCCAGUUCAAGAAUAUGUAUUUUUGUGUUCCAAAAAGGUAUAUGUUACUUUUUAAAUGCAUGUAGCUAAAAAAUACACUAAAAUACACAUUUUAACAUGUACCAGUACUUUGUUAAUCUAAAAGCACCCAGAUCUUACUAUUGCACUAAAACAGUGCUGUCCAACUUAUUACAAGUAUUGGGCCAAUUAUAUCUUGCACAGCAUGUUGGAGGGCGGAUUCAGUUAAAAUGAUGAUGUUAUAUAUUGGUCUAUGGAGCCUCUGAGAAGACUGGGGGCCAUAAAGAUCCUUUGGAGGGCCACAUCUGGCCCACGGGCCUCCAGUUGGUCAUCCCUGAACUAAAACAUUGUUACCUUACAUGACAAAAUAGUUCAUGGGUACCAAUAGACAUUUCAAAUUCAGGGUUUUUGGGCUGGAGUGAUGGCCACAGCCCUUAUAUAUAAUCUGUGCAUAAAACCUGGAGACAGUGGAUAGUGUCUAAUGAAAAGGUUACAUUUAUGGAGGUGUCCCACACCCACAUUUUAUUUUGUAGAGACAAUGAUCAGGACAUGUUAAUGACAGGGAAAUAUAUGUAUAUACAUACUAUGUAUAUGUAGAGCAGACUGUAAUUUUUACCUUUUUUGCCCAAUCAGUUUAGCCAAGACAACAAUAUGUAUGUGACAAUAUUGCACCGUCUCUGACUGUACCAGGGAUGGCUACCCUGAGGCACACCCUCAGUUGUAGUACUACAACUACAUCCUCCAAUAGGUACCAGGAGGUACCAGAAUCCUUGAAUUGCCUUAGUGUCUUAAGAAUUGAUGUUAUAUUACUGUAACAAUUAUCAUUUAAAAAUAUAAUUAUCCCUGCACUUCAUCUCUCAGUAAGGGUAAUACCAGGAGGUUUAAACACUGGGGUUUGGGUUUGAUGCUCUGUUGAUGUGACUGUGCCAGGAUAUGAGACUUGUUGCAAUAAAUCAUGAUUAUUUUGUAAGUAUAAUUUAAACAAAAUUAUAAUUAAAAAAAAUGAGACAAAUAAACAAAUAAAUAAAUUC